GAUGAACGCUGGCGGCGUGCUUAACACAUGCAAGUCGAACGAAGCACCUUAUUUGUUUUUCUUCGGGUCUGAUCAUCUUGUGACUGAGUGGCGCAUGGGUGAGUAACGUGUGGGUAACCUGCCUCGUACAGGGGGAGAAGAGAAUGAAACGGCUGCUAAUACCCCAUAAGGUUACGGCGUCGCAUGAUGCAGUGCUAAAAAUUCCGGUGGGAUAAGAUGGACAUGAGUUGGUUUAUCAAGUUGCGAAGGUCACGGCCCACCAUGGCGACGAUCCAUAGACGAGAUGAGAGGGUGAGCGGCCACACUGGGACUAGGAAGCAGCCGAAACUCCUACGGGAGGCAGCAGUGGGGAAUAUUGCACCAUGGGCGAAGGGCUGAUGCACCGACGACGGGUGAGCGAAGAAGUAUUGGGGUAUGUAAAGCUCUAUCAGCAGGGAAGAUAAUGACGGUACCUAACUAGGAAGCACCGGCUAAAUACGUG
rnacentral:rRNA from 1 species